UGAGUGUUACGAUGAUGGUCCUAUGAAGUAGGACUUAGUCUAGCUCUGGUCUACCGCUGUGCCGUCGGAGUACAGCGG
rfam:Streptococcus sp. DD12 genomic scaffold scaffold00003, whole genome shotgun sequence.